rnacentral:lncRNA from 1 species
GCGGCAACAGGUGGAGCAGGUGGUGGCAGAGUUGGUGGUGACAGAGGCGGCAGCAGUAAAGGAAGACCCUAGGUGCGCCGCACGUAGGGUUAGGGUUACCCUUCUCUUUUUUUUGUUUUUUGGUUUGGGCUGAAUUUUUUAUUGGGUUUGUGAUUUUGGGCCUGUUGUAUUUUGUUUGUUGGGUUUGGGUUGGUUAUUGGGCUGAUUGGGCUAGUGUUGGGUUUGGUCAGUUGGGUAGGUCAAAAUGGGCCCGUACAGCUACCCCUCUUUGCUCGUUGUCGUGUAACGAUAACAGAGCAAAGACUAAGAAAGGCCCAUUUUGCCCGGCUUCGCCGAUUCUUGACUUGUUCUGGUGCUUUUCUUUCU